AUCUUGCUGGAAAUCCCUGUCUACCAGAGGUGUUCUGAAGAUGUCUUCAUCAUAUCAUCCAUUUAGUGGACACCUGAUGAGGAUAUAUGGACACUAGACAGUACUCUAAGAGAUGUAAUGAUCAUGAUAAAGCUGUGUCCAAAACUUGAAAAAUUGCAGUAACACCGCUACUUCUUUAACAAAAUGGGACCUACCUAACCAAAAGGAACCCAGGAAAUGUUCUGGUACACCCUACAUCCUGACAGAGAAUGGAAAAAUUGAGAACUUCUAUCACACUUCCUGAAGAAAAGACGUGAAAAAAAGUAAAAAAAAUUCAAACAGCAAGAAGUGAGAAUGAGAAAACAUUCCACUUCAGAAUAACCUGAUAUUCUGUCUUUUGAUGUGAGAUCUGGUCUGUGGUCUAAAACAAAUUAAAAUGUAUUCUUAUGGAAAGUAGUGACCAGCCUCCACUGUCAGAGUUCAUAUUAAAGGAUGCAGCUAUCUCAACCAAACAAACAUUUGGUCAUUUUUACAUUUUACAUAUUUGCAUCUCAAGAGUGUUAAAACUAUAAUUUUAAGUAGAAUAACUCAUCACAUAUGUUCAUCAUGCUCAUCACAUAGCAAAAUACCUCCAUUUGAAGUGAUGUGUCAGUACACUAUUUGGUUUUUCUCUAACCAUACAUUCUUAAUUCUUAAAUUCUAUCAAAAUCAUUCCUUUUAAGAAAAAUAAUCAAAAGUCAUUAUGUUUAGUUCAACAAAAUAUUGUUCUCACUGUACUGAUUACUAUCUGAGAAACUACUUUCACCAAAACAAUCCCAAAAGAUGGUUCUGAAGACAACCUCUGAUUUACUAUGCGCUGAUGCCCUUACAAAGCUGACCCUGAGAUGCCUCUGUCUUUGUAAGUAUUCUAGGAUUGGAAAUAAAUUGCAUUC
ensembl:lncRNA